UGAAGGACUGGCCAAGGAUGAUUCUCUGAUUGAAGGCAUCCUCUAGGUUAGGCAUGGGGAACAACUGGCCCUCCAGAUGUUGUUGAACUACAUAACCUCCAUCAGCCCUAGCAAGCAGGGCCAAUGGCCAGGGAUGAUGGGAGUUGUAGUACAGCAAAGGUUCCUCACCCCACACAAGCUCUAGCUGGAGGGCACUCUAAAGACAAAAAAGCAUAAGAAAGUAAGAGUCUUUAAAUUGCCCAUUAGCAGGCAGCUCCUCGAAAGCAGACUGUGCAAGCAGAUAGGUUUACCCAAGCAGUAUUCCCAACUAUGGGAAUCUAUGUGAGUUCAUCAUCCUGGGGAUUAUGAUUUCCUUCUCUAACAGGCUGAUGAUCAACGCUAAAGGGGGAGAUCGCUGAGAAUGCAUCAUAUCAGCUUUCAGCGUCACUGGGAGAGGCUUUGGGGAAUCUCAGCGCACAACAAUAUACAAUAUGUAACAUAUUAUUACCUAUUAAAUGCCUGAUGUCAGACUA